rnacentral:rRNA from 1 species
AGCAUAUCAAUAAGCGGAGGAAAAGAAACUAACAAGGAUUCCCCUAGUAACUGCGAGUGAAGCGGGAAAAGCUCAAAUUUAAAAUCUGGUAGUUUCACUACCCGAGUUGUAAUCUAGAGAAGCGUUAUCCGCGCUGGACCGUGUAUAAGUCUCCUGGAAUGGAGCGUCGUAGAGGGUGAGAAUCCCGUCUUUGACACGGACUACCAGGGCUUUGUGAUGCGCUCUCAAAGAGUCGAGUUGUUUGGGAAUGCAGCUCUAAAUGGGUGGUAAAUUCCAUCUAAAGCUAAAUAUUGGCGAGAGACCGAUAGCGAACAAGUACCGUGAGGGAAAGAUGAAAAGAACUUUGGAAAGAGAGUUAAACAGUACGUGAAAUUGUUGAAAGGGAAACGCUUGAAGUCAGUCGCGUCUGCCAGGAAUCAGCCUUGCUUUUGCUUGGUGUACUUUCUGGUUGACGGGUCAGCAUCAGUUUUGAUCGGUGGAAAAAGGCCAGCGGAAUGUGGCACCUCCGGGUGUGUUAUAGCUGCUGGUUGUAUACAUCGGUUGGGACUGAGGAACUAGCACUCUGUGUUUUAGAUGCUGGCAUAAUGGCUUUAAUCGACCCGUCUUGAAACACGGACCAAGGAGUCUAACAUGCCUGCGAGUGUUUGGGUGGAAAACCCGAGCGCGUAAUGAAAGUGAAAGUUGAGAUCCUCGUCGUGAGGAGCAUCGACGCCCGGACCAGACCUUUUGUGACGGAUCCGCGGUAGAGCAUGUAUGUUGGGACCCGAAAGAUGGUGAACUAUGCCUGAAUAGGGUGAAGCCAGAGGAAACUCUGGUGGAGGCUCGUAGCGAUUCUGACGUGCAAAUCGAUCGUCAAAUUUGGGUAUAGGGGCGAAAGACUAAUCGAACCAUCUAGUAGCUGGUUCC